rnacentral:tRNA from 1 species
GCCUGGGUGGCUCAGUCGGUUAAGCCUCUGACUUCGGCUCAGGUCGUGGUCUUGGAGUUCGUGGGUUCGAGUCCUGCGUCGGGCU